GUCAUCCCCCUUCAUUUCCCCCUAGACAACAGCUCGUUUCCCUUGCUGUCUCCUUUUCCAACGCUCCAUGAUGAGAAUAGCACUGACUAUGGAAGGUUGAGGUCUGGGCAGAGGCUUGAUCUGAACACAUCCGGGCAUUUCAGCAGCCGGGCUUCCCUUCCGGUCCCUUUUCCCGUGAACAUCCUGCAGGUGUCUCCGACGGCCAUAGCAAAGUUUCAAUUCCACAUAAUGUAUAAUUAUGGCAACACAAGCAUAAAUUACCAAGGACAAGAAGCUGCAAAAUGAAGAAAUUGACUUGCCUAGGAUACCAGGAUAACAGAAGAGGUAUGGAUCAGGACUCGGAAGUCUUUCAACCUUUAAGUCCCACUGUUUUCUCUCCUAUCUACUGACCCAGAUCCCAAACUGCAAAAUCAAGAGUAGCUAACAAAAGCUCAACGUGUUGGAAUGGACAUGAAUUGUCCUGACCUCAGUAUCACUGACAUCAAUGAGAUAAAACCUGACCAAAUACUGACAGAAUUCAUGAACUGGCUUCUUCUCGGUCUCCUCCUGGUACUAGCAAAAAGACAAGUAAAAGCUGCCCAGUGGAAGAAUGGUUUGCUUAAUGAAAGCUGUCAGCCUCCCAUAUCCACCUACAAGGGACACUUAUUUGGGGGUCACCUGGGAACCAAAGCAGAGACACCGAGGUGGGUGUACUGGCCUGUAACCGAGUGUCACGAUGACAGAUUUGACCUGCUGACUGCAGAAAUGUGUAUCGAACUGACCUGAGCCAUCAAAAGGAGGCAGCUGUUAAAAUUUCUCUGUGAGCACCGUAACUUUGCCACAGUCCUCUCUGGCUCUCAUGAAAACUCCCACAUUUUGACAAUUGGGGUUUUGCUACAACAACUUUAAUGAACGCUGUCUUGCAACAUGGGCCUCACCCUGAAUCGUCUUUUUAGAUCAUUACUUCCUACAGAGCAUCGGCACGGAAGGGGUUCAUCCCAGGGAAUUAGUUUUAGACAGUCACAUGGGGGUGAAUGGAAAGAGGGUUCGAAUCCUACUUUAUAGAUGGGUUAGUGGUGUGUCUUCCAUUUAACUUUUUCUGCAAAAUGAGGAUAAUCAUUAUAGCUGUUACAAACAGAGUCCAGGGCAGCCAGGUGGGGGAGUGGAAAGAGUGCUGGGUCUGGAGUCGGGAAGAACCGGACUCAAAUCUAGCCUUGGAUGCUAGCCAGCGAACCCUGGGCAAGUGUUCUAUAGAGCUUACAGCAUUCUAUAAAGGCCCUUUAUUGUUGCUGCUGUUGUUAUGUGCUCAACGGUUCUCAUUUUAAGAUACUCAUCUCAUGACUCUUAAACAACAUUAUUCAAAGGUUCUAGUAUAUUACUGAAUAAUUACAAUAACCAUAGGGUUGAAAAGUGUAUUUAAGGCAUCUUUUUGAUUACAAUCAGGCCUGCUUCUCACUUACUCCUGAUAUUUAUAAGCAUUUUAUAGUUUGCAAAGUACUUUACUUAUAUCAUCUUGUUUGAAUCUCAUGACAAUCCUAUGAGCUAAAUAUUAUCAGUAUAUUCCAUUCAUUUUGCAAAUGAAUGAACUGAGGCUGAGAAGUUUGGACAGUUAAGUGGUGUGGUAGAUAGAGACCUGGGACUAGAGUCAGGAAAAUGAGCUCAGACCUGGCCUCAGAUGCUUACUAGCUGCAGAACCCUAGGCAAGUCACUUAACCUUGUUUGCCUUAGUUUCCUCAUUAGAAAAUGAGCUAGAGGAGGAAAUGGCAAACCCCUCCAGGAUCUUUGUCAAGAAAACUCCAGAUGGGGUCAUGAUGAAUCGGACACAAGUGAGAAACCACUGAACUCAAAAUAUCUAUUACAAGAAUUGAGAUUCCACAAAUUCUCUACUUCUGGUUUUUCUAUUCUAUUAAAUAAAGAAAAUGGAGGAAAGGAACAAGCAUCUCUUCUGAAAUGCAGUGGGCUUUACAAUUAUAAUUAUAUUUGAUCCUCACAACACCCACAGGGGGCAGAUGCUAUUACUAUUACUGUCACUGCCACCACUACUACUACCUAACAUGCAUAUUGCUUUCUAUGUAUCAGGCACCGUGUUAAGCCCAUUACAAUUAUUAUUUCACUUAACCUCUCUGGUGCUUUUUACUGUAUUACUACUCCUACUAUUACUAUUACCACUACCAUUUUACAGCUAAGGAAACUAAGGCAGACAGAGGUUAAGUGACUUUUCCAGGGUCAUAUAGCCAGUAAGUAUCUUGAGGUCAAAUUUGAACUCGGGUCUUCCUGACUCCAGGUCCAAGAGCCAAGACUCUAGGGAGCAAUGAAGAGUUGCUGGAUUUUGAGUCAAAGGUAGUCUGGACUCACAUCCCAGUCCUGCUGCCACUAUGUGACUUUAGGCAAAUUACUUAAUCCCUCUGGGUCUCAGGGUCUUCAUCUGCAAACUGUAGGAAUUGAAUUAGAUAACUCCUAAGGUCAAUUCCAGAAUCAGUUUAUGGUCCUGCGGUUUCCCAGGAAAAAAUAAGAGAAACCCAGUGUUCUCUGUUCCUUCCCUGUUGUAGUUAUUUGCACGGGCAAGCUGAGGGAGCUAAACCUGGUCAUAAAAUCAUUCAGCUUCUUUACCCCACUUCCUUUCUUUCUCUACCUCUACAAGGCAAUAAAAUCAAAUGGCUUUUUGGUAAAUGAGUCACCUCCCUUUCUCCAGAGGGAGUUUCUCUACAUCCUGAAGAGUUUAGCCAGAGAAGAUGAAUAGAGAAGUAAAAUAAGGGAUGAUGAAUGAUAAUAAGUAUGAAUAACAAUUAGACACAAGACAAGCAAGCAACAAACUGGAAAGAGUGGAGGUUAUAGAAUGCUUUCUUUGCUAGAUAACGGUUUCCUAUUGUUCAUUUGGUGGCUAAGCCCACCUUGGGAUGUUUUUUUCCUCCUCUGCUAAAGUGUGAAACUGCAUGUGUAGGCAUAAACUAUCUAAGCCAAAAUCACUCAUUUGCCAUUGCAAUGGUAGGCUUGACUGGCAUUAAAAUACAUUCAGUUUUUGUUUUCUAAGCUCAAAGAGCUGGAAAGAAAGUGUAACCAUUUACUCAAAAACUGACAUGAGGCACCUCAGAGAGGCAGAGAAUAUGAUAAAACUGGGGGGAAAAUAUUACCUAUAUAGUUAUAAAUUAAAGUUGUUUGAAAAGUUAAGCAUAGAAUGGGGAAAAAAAUCACCUCCACAUAAAAUGUCUUCUUCCAUUGAAAGACAUUCUUUAUGAUUCUUGUAUAUACCUCAUUGAAUCUCAACUCAGAGAGGCAAACAGAAACUUUUAAAAUAUUCUUGUUUAAAAAAAAAAAGAAAGAAAAGAGAGGAAGUUCACCAGGAAGAAGCACUGCAUUAGAUGCAACAGUAAAUGUGAUAAGCCUAAACAACCCCCCCCCCCCCAGUUUCCCUAUCUUUUCCAGGCUGGCACUGCAUCAGCCAUUCACAGAUCCCAUUCCAGCACUGCUGAGUUUGGAGGCUUUGCCCUGCUGUUUCUCCCCUGGGCCAAUUCCCCUCCUUAGGCAGUCUGGUGGCUUCUUUCUCUCAGAGACUCACCAUAUUGGUACCAGAACUGAUGCGGACAUCUAGUUGACUUAGUCCAUUGCAGUUCAGAGGUCUCAAACUCAAGUGAAACAUUAACCUCAGUCUCCUCUGUAGAGGAUAUUACAGAGAAGUGCCACCAUGACUAGUAGAAGAUUCCCCCAAAACAUACUCAAAUAAGGUAACAACACUGCUGUCACUCAGAGGUCUCAAAAUACUUUAGGAGAACCUCCUUACUAAUCCUACCACUAGCCCCCUAGCAGAUAGAUGAUGGUAACUAUGGUUUCUCUUUCAUCUGUAGCAGUGCCACACAAUUGUUCUCUUUAUGUGAGUAGCAGAAAUCCAUCCCUCAAAAACAAGUUCAAAUUUGGGAAAGAAAAAAAAUGACCAAAGAAUUAAUGAACAAAAUAGGAGAGAUUAAUAUAAAUAAAGGAAACAAUUAUCAUAUCAAAAUAUAAGACAAGAAAGCUGAUUAAGUGAAGCAUCAAAAGACCUGUGAGAAACUGAUGAAAGGCAUAAUAUGCAUUUACCUGGUUUUUAUUCUUUCAUGAUUUAAUUUUCAAUUUUAUUCACUACCAUCUGAUAAUUGCAUGAAACAGUUACUCUAACCAUGGGCAAUUUAAACAAUUUAAAUUUUUAUUUCAAGGCCAUGAGACAAAAGAACCUAUUUAUUGCCUGAGGGGAUUUUUACAAAAAUGAAAGCUUAAUCUUUCAUGUUUUUUAAGCAAAG